rnacentral:rRNA from 2 species
GGUGAGACUGCCGGUGACAAACCGGAGGAAGGUGGGGAUGACGUCAAAUCAUCAUGCCCCUUAUGACCUGGGCUACACACGUGCUACAAUGGACGGUACAACGAGUUGCGAAGUCGUGAGGCUAAGCUAAUCUCUUAAAGCCGUUCUCAGUUCGGAUUGUAGGCUGCAACUCGCCUACAUGAAGUUGGAAUCGCUAGUAAUCGCGGAUCAGCAUGCCGCGGUGAAUACGUUCCCGGGCCUUGUACACACCGCCCGUCACACCAUGAGAGUUUGUAACACCCAAAGCCGGUGAGAUAACCUUCGGGAGUCAGCCGUCUAAGGUGGGACAGAUGAUUAGGGUGAAGUCGUAACAAGG